AGGUCCAGCCUGCCCAGUGAGAAAUUUAACGGCCGCAGUAUCCUAACCGCGCGAAGGUAGCAUAAUCACUUGUUCUUUAAAUAGGGACUCGUAUCAACGGCACCACGAGGGUCACACUGUCUCCCCUUUCCAAUCAGUGAAACUGAUCUCCCCGUGAAGAAGCGGGGAUAAACCUAUAAGACGAGAAGACCCCAUGGAGCUUUAAAUCUCACAGCAACUCUGCCAUACAAUCCCCCAUAGUCAACAGAGCCCUGCAUGUCGACUUUAGGUUGGGGUGACCACGGAGAAAAAAUUAUCCUCCACGACGAAAAGAACUAAACCUUUAUCUAAGAGCAACUCCUCUAAGAAUUAGCAUACUAACGUUCAAUGACCCGAUAAUCGAUCAACGGACCAAGUUACCCUGGGGAUAACAGCGCAAUCUACUUCAAAAGCCCAUAUCGACAAGUAGGCUUACGACCUCGAUGUUGGAUCAGGGUAUCCCAGUGGUGCAGCCGCUACUAAUGGUUCGUUUGUUCAACGAU
rnacentral:rRNA from 1 species